rnacentral:lncRNA from 1 species
GAGGCACACAGGACAGGGAAGAAGCAUAUGGCUCGGACAGGGAAGAAGCAUAUGGCUCGGCUCCAGGAACUCCAAAAGAUGUCGGAAAAACUGAAGUGACCGAUGAUGUGGGUGCAACUGUCAAUAGAAUUAAUCCCAAGGAACAAGAAGAAGCGUUCACCAUAGGGGAUAACUGAGUUAAGUCAUGUUCAGGGAAUAAUGCAUAAAUUAUGAUGUAACUUGUACAUUGGCAUGUC